GUUAUUUUUUUGGACUUCAGCCCCAAAAAAUGAUGAGCUCCAAAAUUUGACUUGAUUUCUUCACAGUUGUACACCGGCUCAUUACAUUACAGCAGCAGUUUCCCUGUUUCAUCACCUUCAACAAAGCUUUUGCGAAAAUGCGAAGGACAUGUUAAAAGAACAAGCUUCAAGUGUCUAUAAUCUCAAUAAAGUUGGCUUUCGAUGGAUACACAGGAUUGAUAUUUGAUCACUAAUUUGCUAGCAAGACCAGUUUGUAGGGAGCUUAAGGUGACAAUGGAAAGCCAGGACAGAGAUGAAAUUCAUAAUUGUGUGAUCAAGCUGAGAGUUAAUCCUCAAAAGCGAAGGGAGUAGGUUUAUAUUGGCUGUGGAGCUGGGUUUGGAGGUGACAGGCCAAUGGCUGCUCUUAAGUUGCUUCAGAGAGUUAAAGAGCUAAACUAUCUAGUACUGGAAUGCCUAGCGGAGCGUACUCUUGCUGAACGAAGCUGAUGUACCAGCAAGAAAGUGGGCCUUUUGAUUUCAGGCGAAUGGAAGUUUCCCCAUUGUUGCUGGUAAUUGAUAGGAGGGAUGAUCCUGUGACCCCUUUGCUAAACCAGUGGACCUAUCAGGCAAUGGUUCAAGAAUUGAUAGGUAUUCAAGACAACAAGGUGGAUUUGAGAAACAUUGGCAAACUUCCAAAGGAUCAAAAGGAGGUUGUGUUGUCAUCAGAACAAGAUGCCUUUUUCAAAGCUAACAUGUAUGAGAAUUUUGGAGAUAUUGGGAUGAAUAUCAAGUGAUUGGUAGAUGAAUUUCAGCAGAUUUCAAAGAGUAACCAGAGCAUCCAGACAAUAGAAGACAUGGCCAAAUUUGUUGACAAAUACCCUGAGUACAGAAAAAUGCAUGGAAAUGUUUCAAAGCAUGUGACAUUGGUCACAGAAAUGAGCAAGAUAGUUGAAGAGAGAAAACUCAUGUUAGUUUCAGAAACAGAGCAGGAGUUGGCUUGUAAUGGUGGUCAAGUGGCAGCAUUUGAGGUAGUGUAAUCAAUUGUAUCUUUUCUUGUUUUUCUCUAAAUAUUGUUUAUGUUACUUCAUAUAUAUCCAUGAGCCUACUUAGUUAUACGUUUUUCUAGAUAAUUUAUAAUAGAAAUUAUUAUAAGAUACAUAAGUAUGGAUUUUGGUAUAAUUUUUAGACAGCUAUAUGAUCAUGAAUCAAGCGCAAGGAGUAGAUUAUCCUAGUACAGGAGGCUGAAGAAAAGGAUGUUGUCUUGGAUGAUUUUGUUGUAUGCACACAUGCAUGUUGAUACACUCAUCAGUAUGAGACAGAUUAAGAUGGAUUAUGUUAUUUACCCAAUGCUCAAA